AUUGAACGCUGGCGGCAGGCCUAACACAUGCAAGUCGCACGAGUGGCGGACGGGUGAGUAAUGUCUGGGAAACUGCCUGAUGGAGGGGGAUAACUACUGGAAACGGUAGCUAAUACCGCAUACCAUCAGAUGUGCCCAGAUGGGAUUAGCUAGUUGGUGGGGUAACGGCUCACCAAGGCGACGAUCCCUAGCUGGUCUGAGAGGAUGACGAGCAACACUGGAACUGAAGGACGGUCCAGGAUCCUACGGGAGGCAGCGGGGGGGAAUAUUGCACAGUGGGCGCAAGCCUGAUGCAGACAUGCCGCGUGGAUGAAGAAGUCCUUCGGGUUGUAAAGUACUUUCAGCGGGGAGGCGUUACCCGCAGAAGAAGCACCGGCUAACUCCGUGCCAGCAGCGGCGGUAAUUC
rnacentral:rRNA from 1 species